ACGGUGGAGCAUGUGGUUUAAUUACGAAGCAACGCGAAGAACCUUACCAGGUCUUGACAUCCCGAUGCUAUUUCUAGAGAUAGAAAGUUACUUCGGUACAUCGGUGACAGGUGGUGCAUGGUUGUCGUCAGCUCGUGUCGUGAGAUGUUGGGUUAAGUCCCGCAACGAGCGCAACCCCUAUUGUUAGUUGCCAUCAUUCAGUUGGGCACUCUAGCGAGACUGCCGGUAAUAAACCGGAGGAAGGUGGGGAUGACGUCAAAUCAUCAUGCCCCUUAUGACCUGGGCUACACACGUGCUACAAUGGUUGGUACAACGAGUUGCGAGUCGGUGACGGCGAGCUAAUCUCUUAAAGCCAAUCUCAGUUCGGAUUGUAGGCUGCAACUCGCCUACAUGAAGUCGGAAUCGCUAGUAAUCGCGGAUCAGCACGCCCGCGGUCGAAUACGUUCCCGGGCCUU
rnacentral:rRNA from 1 species